AUGAUGUCCUCACUCCCAUCUUUAGCUGCGUUUGAUCCAAAAAAAACAAGAAACGAUCAAGAAAUGAAAGAAGCGUUUGAUAGUCUUAGCAAAUCUGAGCUUUUUGCAAGGAUCCCACAGAGUCUCGAUGAUCGUAAGUUGUCUAUAUCAACUGCAGAUCUGGUAGAGAAGCAUUCGUCGAAGCGGCACAGGGAGCCUAGUCCGCAAGUAAAUGACAAAAGCAGUUCCAAAAAAAUAAAGGACUCCCCCAUAUCAAUUCCAGUUCCACCCUCUAAAAAGUUCAUGAUGGAAAGUCAAAACCUUCAAAUGGACUUGCCUUCCAAAGACAAGUCCCCGAGCUACAGCAGUAGUAGUGCUAAUGAGCAACCUUCCUUGACAAUUACAUCAACUGAAGAGCAAUCAAGAAAAUCUAUGAAAGAGAGCAAAUUAGGAGCGCUGAUCAGUCAAGUGACAGUAGUACCGGCAGUAGAGAUAACUGUUGCCUCCACAUUCCCUUCAAAACGAGGAACCACGUCACCGGUCCCUAUUUCGGUUCCUGCUUCGUCCUUAUCGCCAAAGCAUCCUUCAUCUCCACUGCAAAUUCCUUUAGUUUCUGCAGUCCCCAUCUCUGAACCCUCUGCUCAAUCACCCGCUCCCUCCCCCCCUCCCGUCUUAGUGCCUAACGAGCCACUGAAAGCCCCAACUCCUGCCCCAGAGCCAGUUGUGUUAUCAACCUCUAUCCUCGAAGGAACAUCGGAGAGUUUGCCCAUUGUAGAAGUUGAACAAGCUUCAGAAUUAGAAUCAAAAGUCGAAAUUAUGAUCAACAAACCGCAAGACAGCAGCAAUGAGGACCAACUCUCAGCGCCAAACAAGGCAGACACCUCCUCUGAGACACUAAAUAAAGAGGAGGCAGUACCUGAAGAAGAAACAAUGCCAGCCAAAAAACGUAGACCCAGAUCAAAAAAGCCAGUUCCCAUCCUAAAUGAUCCUGAAUUAGCCGUAGAAAGGAAAAAUUUGAGAUCAUCAGCCAGUAGAUCAGCAGCAGCUGCAGCUGCUCGAGCGGCAAGAGCAGCAGCGUUACAGCAGCAAGCAGAACAGGAAAAUGCAUCAGCUCAAGAAGAUGAGGCGUAA
rnacentral:lncRNA from 1 species